CUGGAUUCAAUGCAGCUGGAUGUAGAAAGCUGAGGCUUAGCAACAACUGCAGAGCACAGUUACUACUUCAUCUUCUUUUUGGAGUAGGCUGAAUCAAGCCUCUGUCAAGAACCACUGCUGAAAUACUGAAUUAACAUACCCAAGACCAGCACACCAGGAGGAUAGCCUUCUGCCAAGAAUAGUGUGAAGAUUUACCUUGCUUUUGGACAGACACAGUGCAUCCUCAGAAGGCAGAGACGUUGCUGCUCUCUGAGCACUGCAUGCGCUGUGUUCAUGACUGAUGGAAAUAAUGCCCAGUUUUGGGGGAGCCUGGUGGUACGGGAGACAGUCACAGCAACUCUAAUAGGGUGGCUUAUCACUUUCUUGUAGAGCCAGGUUUGAGCAUCUCCUUAAUGCAAAUCCUGCACCUUCACGUAGACUCCUUCCCAGGCAGCUACAGUGGAUCUGCUCACCAAGGGAAUUUGUCCCACUGGAUUCCUUUUUUUUUCUGUGCAGUUGAAUGAGGAGUGUGUGUCUUUUGAAGAGCAACAACUGAAAGAAAUAUUGAUGACUGCCAGGGCAUCUACAGAAAAAGAUAAGAAAAUUACUCUACUGUAACAGUGAAGACAAAGGGGCUUUGUUAAGUCUUUCUUGUAGGUUGUAUAUAUUAAUAGUAACAAGUAAAGUUUUGUAUUUUUUCAGAGACACACACAAGGCCUUGAAUUGUAUUGUUUUAAUUGCAGCUAACUGAAUGAAUUAAGUAGAAAAUCACACACAGUGCUUUGAUUGUCUAAUUCUUUGUAUGUGAGGCUUUGGGAACAGUUUGUUAUUAUAAAAGAACAGCACUAACCAGAAAUCAGCCAACAUGUAAUUGCUAGGCUGAGGGGCAGU